rnacentral:rRNA from 1 species
GAUGAACGCUGGCGGCGUGCCUAAUACAUGCAAGUCGAGCGAACAGAUGAGGAGCUUGCUCCUCUGACGUUAGCGGCGGACGGGUGAGUAACACGUGGAUAACCUACCUAUAAGACUGGGAUAACUUCGGGAAACCGGAGCUAAUACCGGAUAAUAUAUUGAACCGCAUGGUUCAAUAGUGAAAGACGGUUUUGCUGUCACUUAUAGAUGGAUCCGCGCCGCAUUAGCUAGUUGGUAAGGUAACGGCUUACCAAGGCAACGAUGCGUAGCCGACCUGAGAGGGUGAUCGGCCACACUGGAACUGAGACACGGUCCAGACUCCUACGGGAGGAAGCAGUAGGGAAUCUUCCGCAAUGGGCGAAAGCCUGACGGAGCAACGCCGCGUGAGUGAUGAAGGUCUUCGGAUCGUAAAACUCUGUUAUUAGGGAAGAACAAAUGUGUAAGUAACUAUGCACGUCUUGACGGUACCUAAUCAGAAAGCCACAGCUAACUACGUG